UGCCAAAAGAAACAUGGGCAAUCACGUAUCAAUGGUACCCACUCAACUGUACUCAGUGGAGGAUUACUUCUCAGACUUGCAGGAGUUUGAGUUUGUGGAAAAGAUGGGCAGCACUCGCUUCCUUAAGAUAGCGCGAGCAAAAUACAAAGGCGGGUUUGUUGUUGUUAAAGUCUUUCCCAGAGUUGAUAAAAACCUCUUGCAGUCGUAUCAGGAGAAAGUCAACAACAUAAAUCUUCAGUUAUGUGGUUGUCCGGGAACUUUAGCGUUCCCUAAGGCGCUGAUAACCGACCGAAGUGGGAUAUUGAUAAGACAGUUUGUUUGGUCGAAUCUGUAUGACCGGAUAAAUCUUAGGCCGUUUUUGUGCCAAGUGGAGAAGCUAUGGAUAGUCUAUCAGAUGUUGAGGGCUCUUGAGGAAUGUCACUCGAGAGGAGUCGUCCAUGGAGAUCUGAAGACAGAGAAUUUUCUUCUCACCAGUUGGAACUGGGUGAUGCUGACAGACUUUGCUUGUUACAAACCGACUGAAUUACUUGAGGAUAAUCCAGCUGCUUACAGUUUUUUCUAUGAUACAUCUCGUAGGAGAAACUGUUAUAUUUCCCCUGAGAGGUUUAAAAAGCAACUCAACUCAACCGCCUCAUGUUUACUUCCUCCAAUGGAUAUUUUCUCCCUUGGUUGCGUCAUCGCAGAACUUUUUUUAGAGGGCGGACAGAUCUUUAAUUUACAUCAACUGAUAUCGUAUAGAAAUGGAGAUUAUAACCCCAAUAAAACUGUGGAUAUAAUUGAGAACAAAAGUAUUGUGAAACUUAUAAAAUCCAUGAUAUCAUUGGAUCCUGAGGACCGGUCGACAGCAGCAGCUUAUUUAAGUGAUACUGGUGAAUUCAGUUCCAUAUUCCCCGCCUACUUCUCGUUCAUGUAUGAUUCCCUUAAAAUGUUCUGUAGCCCCAUCUUUAACUCAUCUGAUAAAAAGUUAACGUUUAUUUACCAAAACUUUCCAACCUUUCAAUCGAAACUACAAUACGUAGAUGCAGAAAAUGGUCACAUCAUAAUACUGUCCCUUGUAACUUCAUGUAUCCGUGGCAUACAGAAAAACUCUGUGAAAGUCAAAGCUCUGCAGCUUCUAGAGGCUUUGUCUCAGUUAACACCAGACGAAAUAGUCAUUGACAGAGUUGUUCCUCAUAUUCUUUAUUUCUCAACAGACGCAGUCCCAAGUAUUCGAGCCAACUGCAUUGUCAGCUUGUCAAACUGUCUUAAGAAUGUCUCCAGUUUACCAACAACAGAUGCCAACAUUUUUCCGGAAUACAUUUUUCCGUAUGUCAACAAGUUGUCUACGGAUCCUGAGAAGUUGGUUCAAAGAGUGUUUGCAGAAAAUAUUGGUACAUACGCGGAGCAUGCUUUGUCUUUCUUAGAGACCAACCCGCCCGCUAGUUUUGAUGCAGAGUUGCAAGCUCUUCACAACAUCGUGCAAGUACCAGUUGUCCAGUUGCUGACUGGUGAAGAUAACGUCGCUAGAAGGAUCCUGUUGGAAAAAUGUAUUACAUCGCUGUGUGUAUUUUUUGGGCAACAAAAAGCAAACGAUCUGAUACUCUCCCAUAUGAUAACAUUCCUUAAUUACAAAAACGAUUGGAGGUUAAGAGCUGCGUUCUUCGAUUGUGUAGUGGGGGUAGCGGCUUUCGUGGGUUGGCACAGUCUCAAUAUGCUGAAACCACUGCUCGAACAGGGGUUGACAGAUGUUGAGGAAUUCGUCAUCAGCAAAACCAUAUCUGCUCUAAUAGCACUUUCUGAACUGGGCCUGCUGGAAGAGAAUCUCUUAAAAGAGUUAGCGAUUGAAACUUCACCUCUGCUUUGUCAUCCGAACUUAUGGAUAAGAUACAGGGCUGUUGGAUUCAUAUCAGCUGCUUGCAAUAAACUUCACGUGGCAGAUGUUUACUGCAAGAUACUGCCAUUUCUUCACGAGAUUCUAGCAAUACCAAUCAGAAACCCAGAUAACCAAAGAGCACUGAUCCAGGCUUUGGCUGAUCCCUUGCCUCGGCCUGUACUUGACUUCUUAGUUGGUUGUCCUCUGAACGACAAAAUCAUACUAUAUUUGUCAGCCACUAACAGAUCCCAACCUCCAUCGGACCUAAAAUCCAUCCUUGAAAAGUUGAAGAAUCUAGGUAUGGGCCUGGAUCAAGAGAAGCAGGUGCUUAAGUUGAAGGAUUACAUCUUGAAAGUCGCUAUUGGAAAGAAAAGCAGUCAUGAAGAUGACCUGUUUGAAGAUAUUGUCGAUGGCACGAUUGUAAUUGAGGAUGAUAAGCUCAGAAGCCUUAAUUAUUUGGAUCCCAUUAUCGAUGCCCCUGUGACACCCACCACCAAAUCAUCUCAAAACAAGCCAUCACCUAAAUCCGCUGAAAUCAUACCCGCAAAAUCACCCGAAGUUAAACUUGACAUAACAUCCGAAAACGAGGACCUCCUGGUUGAGAUUUCCAAAGAUCCGCUCUUUCACAACAUCGACCUUAGCGUUGACCUCAAAACACUGACAGAACCUGACGUGGGUGGCCAAUUGGACGGUCUGCUGACACGCAAACAAGCCGAGUACCUUCACCAAACUCGAACAGAACGCCAAACCCCACUUCCUUCCAAGAGUUGGGAACCUAAAGGAACCCUGGUGUGCCACAUCAGGGAACAUAAAGCUGCAAUAAAUCAUGUUAAGGUUGCUCCAAAACAUUCCAUCUUAGCAACAUCCUCGGAUGAUGGUUGUAUUAAGAUCUGGAACACGAGGAAGUUUGAUAGUCGGAAUAUUGUGAACAACAGUAGACACACAUACUCCCGUCCUGGGCAACCAAUCAGAGGUAUUGCAUUCUACGAUACGGGGGAUAAGAUAGCGGUGGCUACAAGGAACGGGUCACUGCAUGAGGUUGGGGUGAAGGAACUGAAGGUUUGCGCUGCAAGGAACCUUGCUAUUCAGGAUGACGAUAUUGUGGUUGAUAUGGACACUCUUGGUACAGGUCAGGACCAGAAUCUAGUGGUGUGUACAAAUGACGGCAAGAUGAUUGGUGUGGAUCUGCGCUCUCCUUCCAGAAUAUUCAAGUUGUCUAAUGAUCCUUCCCUUGGUGGGGUCAGUGCUAUGUGUAUUGAUAAGAACGAGCAUUGGAUCUGCCUUGGCACCAGGCACGGCUGGAUCACGUGUUGGGACCUGAGGUUUCACCUCCCGAUAACUUCCUGGAGGCACGACACCUCCGCAUGCAUUCUCACUCUUAAACCCAGUAUUGCCUGCAUGAGCUCUAUUUGUGUUGGGGUUCAGGGUUAUAACGAGGUGAGUGUAUGGAAUAUCGAGAGUGGAAGCAAGGAAAGAUCCCUGUGGUACGGGCCACCUGACUCAUACAUGACGUCUACCAUUACUUCCGGGGUACACGCUAUCCUACCCCUCUCCCCCCACACCAUGGUGACCGGAGGAGCGGACCACAGUUUGCGAUUUUGGAACACGCUCAGAGAGUCAGGCUGCUCGGUUGUAUCGGCUCCUCCUGAGAUCGACUCUACUCAAACAUACAGGAGAAGAUAUGAGAAAGAAGUGGAAGUGAUUAUGGCGGAAGAAGAUAACUCGCUCAUCUUAAAUACCGGGGAUAGUAAAGGACUAAACAGACCAUCACCCGCUCAUCAUCACGUGAUAACAGAUGUUAAGUUUGUUAAAACUACACAGCCGUGCCUGGUAACUGGUGACAUGGGUGGUGUUAUGAAGAUUUGGAAAUAGGUGAUGUGGGUGGUGUUAUGAAGAUUUGGAAAUAAGUGAUGUGAGUGGUGUUAUGAAGAUUUGGAAAUAGGUGAUGUGGGUGGUGUUAUGAAGAUUUGGAAAUAAGUGUUUUGAGAUUAAGCUGUGAAUUGGCAGAAUUAAGAUGGGUGAUGAAUUUGAAGAAAC